rnacentral:misc_RNA from 1 species
GGAAGGAUCAUUACCGAGUUCAAGGUCUUUUCUAGGCCUGACCUCCAACCCCUUGUAUACCAAGUGUUUUGUUGCUUCGGUAGGCUAAAAAUGCCUGCCGAAGCCCCACAAAAAUCAUUUGUAUGAUGUUGUCUGAGUUUAUAUAAAAUAAUCAAAACUUUCAACAACGGAUCUCUUGGUUCCCGCAUCGAUGAAGAACGCAGCGAAAUGCGAUAAGUAAUGUGAAUUGCAGAAUUCAGUGAAUCAUCGAAUCUUUGAACGCAUAUUGCGCCCUUUGGCAUUCCGAGGGGCAUGCCUGUUCGAGCGUCAUGAUCAAACCUCUCAAGCCUUGCUUUGGGGUAUUGGGUUUUCGCCUCCAACCUAUCUAUCUUUGUAUGGGUAGGGUGGCGUACCUGAAAGUUAGUGGUGGUACCUCAAUAGACUCAGGUGAAGCAGACUGUGACUCGCCUUUGAGAACCUUUUGUGGUCCUGUCAAUAAAACAAAUAUGAAAAUUUGACCUCGGAUCAGGUAGGGAUACCCGCUGAACUUAAGCAUAUCAAUAAGCGGAGGAAAAGAAACCAACAGGGAUUGCCUCAGUAACGGCGAGUGAAGCGGCAACAGCUCAAAUUUGAAAUCUGGUUCCUUUGGGAACCCGAGUUGUAAUUUGUAGAGGUGUCUUCGGGUUUGGCCCUGGCCUAAGUUCCUUGGAACAGGACGUCACAGAGGGUGAGAAUCCCGUAUGUGGCUGGAGGUCCUAUGCCCAUGUGAAGCACCUUCGACGAGUCGAGUUGUUUGGGAAUGCAGCUCAAAAUGGGUGGUAAGUUUCAUCUAAAGCUAAAUACUGGCGGGAGACCGAUAGCGCACAAGUAGAGUGAUCGAAAGAUGAAAAGCACUUUGGAAAGAGAGUUAAAAAGUACGUGAAAUUGUUGAAAGGGAAGCGCUUGCGAUCAGACUUGCCCUUAGUUGAUCAACCGGUGUUCUUCACCGCUGUACUCAGCUAAGGUCAGGCCAGCAUCGGUUUAGGCGGUUGGAGAAAGAUCACGGGAAUGUGGCUCUCUUCGGGGAGUGUUAUAGCCUGUGGUGCCAUGCAACCAGCUUAGACCGAGGACCGCGCCUUUGUGCUAGGAUGCUGGCGUAAUGGUCGUAAGCGACCCGUCUUGAAACACGGACCAAGGAGUCUAACAUCUAUGCGAGUGUUUGGGUGUUAAACCCAUGCGCGUAAUGAAAGUGAACGGAGGUGGGAACCCUUAAGGGUGCACCAUCGACCGAUCCUGAUGUCUUCGGAUGGAUUUGAGUAAGAGCAUAGCUGUUGGGACCCGAAAGAUGGUGAACUAUGCCUGAAUAGGGUGAAGCCAGAGGAAACUCUGGUGGAGGCUCGCAGCGGUUCUGACGUGCAAAUCGAUCGUCAAAUUUGGGUAUAGGGGCGAAAGACUAAUCGAACCAUCUAGUAGCUGGUUCCUGC